AGAGUAUCAAGGUUGGUGGAGGCGGAGAAUGUUCAUUUCGGUUAGUCUCGCGAAGCUCGAAAGUCGUAUCAGACUCAUUUGUCGCCAACUUCCGAGCUGACUCGUCUGUUCGAAACACCUUUGUAUGCACCCGCUCGGGGAGCAGCCGUUGGCACACCAUGUGAAUGCCCGUCAUACCCCAAUUGUCUCGGGUUGUGCCCCCCGGCUCGACGGGAUCAACCAUCACUGGCUCAACAUCACUCCCCCAUCGGUUCCAUACUCCAGUGGGUCAUUAUUCCAACCCUCUGGAUAAUGUGAAGGCAGCAACCCACAACCUCGCCGCGAUCCCAAUCACGUGGAAUAGCACGGUCGUCAUUGAAGCGGGGAAUGCCAUUGAGAUGCUCAAGACUACAACUGUUCAACAGGCAAACUAUUCUCAUAACAGGCACCGACUUCAUUCUACCCCUCACU
rnacentral:lncRNA from 1 species